GCCAAUGUGGCAUAGUGGCUUGAGCAUUGGACUAGCACUCUGGAGAUCAGGGUUUGAAUCCUCUCUUGGUCA